rnacentral:piRNA from 1 species
UAGGCCACAGAGAAACGAUGACCCCAGU